ensembl:lncRNA LINC01206 long intergenic non-protein coding RNA 1206
GAAUUUGAACGCUCUUGGCAGUUGAGAUUCAGACCUUGACAGUUGUAACCGAUAGACUGGGCUGGGGCAACGCUGAUGAAAGGCAAAUUCCUGAGAGAAAAAUCACCCAGAUUUUUCAGUGCCUUCUCUAGCUUUCUAGAAGUUGUUAUGAGUGGACCUGACUACCUAGAGAGAGUAAUACAGAAGCUCCGUGCCGAUCACAGCUACCUCAUUACCAUGUUCCUCCAAGAUGGCCGCCCCUGAGGAGAAUCAUCAACUGGGCUUUACGGAAGAGAGAAAUCCAAACGACCAUCAGCAACAAAUGAAAGACUGAAGUUGAAAGUUUCAAGAUUGUCAAGAAUGACGAGUUGGACUUGGUCUAGUUACUUCCACAGCAGCAGGAGGAACAUGUGUGUGACUCAGGAUAACUGGGGAAGCCUUGGCUAGGCUUUCCUCAUGUCAACCUACCACUCAAAGGGAGAAAACCUCCUGAUCAGAGGAAAUCCAUAAUUUUUGAAUGCUGGCCGAGGUCUGUGACCUCUGACUGAAUGGUUUCCAAGCUCCGAAUUCCUAGGUGAUGUUUUCAUUUGUUCACACUUGCUGAAGAAGGGAAAGGCUCUCUGAUUUACGUGUAAGCAAAACAAUCUAAACAGUAGGAUAAAAUCAUGUUGGAAUGGAGUUCUGUGUGGAUGCUCCUUUGAACCAAAUCAGUUCCACAACUGACCCUGUCAGGGACAUAUAAAUUUAGCAUUUUGGUGUGGAUACAGAAGACGAGAUUAACACAGAUCAAGUAACAUGGAAAUAAAAAAGGAGACAAUGCUGGAUGAUACAGGGGCAGCCAACAAGAGGAGAAAACCCAAGCAUUGGCAAAUGCCUCAUUAUCCAAAGAACACUCCUUAUACUCCUGAGAAUUUGUGGCAGUCCUGGGUUAAACGAUGAAGGCUUCUUAUUCUCAUGAGGUGUGGAGCAAAACUGUGUUGAAUGAACUGUAGAUGGAAAUUCUCUCCUUCCCACCGAGGAGCCGCUGCAGGUUGCAGACUCCCAGAAUGCCACACUGAGAAGAGGAGGGCUAAAAUUCUAGAGCAGAAUCCCUGGGGCAGCCCCUGCUGAAGAAGGGUGCAUCUGUUGAGAAUCUCAUCACCGCCCCCACCCCGCCCAGCCUUCAAUUUAGAGGAAUUUCUAGUUCACGCAGAAUGAAGACAAGAUCACAUAAGUGAGGACGACGCCCCAUUUACAAGUGUGAUUUGGAAGACUGAAGUGGAAACCUUGGGAAGGGGCCUCAGAGUAUGUCAGCUGGGGUCAGACGGGAACAGGAGUCUGGCUCAACACACAUUUAUUGCACUCCUGUUUCAUGCCAAGAAAUGUACCAAAAUCUGGGACUGUGUAACACAGCAAAGGAAAAGACUCAUCUCCAGGAAGCCCCCUUGUCUAGGAAGAGAAAUUGAAUAUCAGCAUAAGGUGGUGAAAAGCUGUGAAGGAGAUGAGUGCCAGGAGUCCAUGGAGGAAGGAUUCUAGCCUGGACAGGUGAUUGUGGUGAAUAGUCAUGAGAAUCUGGGAACUGGCUCCUGCUCUGUCUAUCUUGGAGAUGCAUCUUUUGUGAGAAGCCAGGGCAAGAAUAGGGAGGCUUAGGCAAUGGGAAGUUUCUGAGUAGAUAAAGCAGAUGGCAGAGCAAAGGGACAGAGCCUGGCGAGAGGCUACUCCCUGUAGCAACCUGCCUAAGAGUGAGAGGAAAGCAAGGCAUGGCUAUGAGCACGUGUAGUCUCAGCUACUUGGGAAGCUGAGGCUGGGGGAUCACUUGAGCCCAGGAGUUCAAGACCAGCCUAGGCAACAUAGUGAGACCAUGUCUCUUUAAAAAAAAAAAAAAAAAGAAAAAGGGAGAGAGAGAAAAAAA